rnacentral:rRNA from 1 species
UACUCCCGUCGGCGUGCACGGGACGCCGAGCUGUCUACCUGGGUUGACUUUAAAUUACCUUCGUAGGUACGGUUGUUUGUCCUCUCACACUAUUUCGGUGAGCAUCUCGCCUCUGCGGUGUCUCGUCUCGUCUCGCCUCCUCGUCUUCCUUUCCUUUCUUCUCGCUCCUCCCUCCCUCUGCGGCCUCCCCUUCCUUCGUGCUGGCGUCUCUUAAGUCUAGUUUCGUUUCCAAAUAUAGGGAGAGGGGAGAGAGACUGCGUCUGCAGCAGCUGGGGAAAAAGAGGAGACUAUAAAGUCACUAAAUUUGCGAGAACAUAAAGAAAUGCCUAUGCCUCCCUCAUUAUUAAAAUAUACGCGGCUCUUUCUUUCUUUCUUUUUUCUCCGGUAGAAGAAGCAGACGAGGUACGCAUACACGCAUGUCAUCCGAGCGGGGCGGGAGAGGAAAAUAUGGGGAGGAGACAAAGGGACGCCGAAACCCACCCUCCUGUACUUCUCUCGUCGUCGUCGUCCUCCUCCCCCUUCGUUUACGCGUCGCGACCUAAUAAACCACACCAUUAUUGAGCCAUCUCAAGAUCCGACUUCGUUUGUUACCUCUCCCUUUACCGACGGAGUAUACUCGGUUUUGAUUUGUCACUUUAUUCCUAAAAACUCUCAAGUCUACUCUAUCAUUGUCUAGAUCGACUCAUAUAGAGGGUUCAAAGUCUUUAGAGACAAUUUCUUUCCCCUAUGAAGCGAUAACGGGAUAGACCUCCCGGGGAACAGUCAAAAAACUCCUUUGAAACACUUCACGGUAUGUUGUUCUGGGACCUAACCAGAUUUACCAUGUAAAAGACCAGACUGCUUGCACGACAUCGUUUCUUGGUACGUCUGUCAUUGAUAUUCAAUUGUUUUCUUCUUAAAGAUAGUUUCCAUGGAUAAGACUCACCGGUACAGAUGAGGUAUUUACUGCCGCGGUGCCACCUCCUGCGUCGUUGCCUGAUGCUUAAACAGUAGUCCGUCGACCAGUUCUAGGCGUGAUAUCCUCAGAGUCUCUCGUUGCUGACGGGGUUCAAACUAGAGUAGGAGGAGUCGUACCCGAGGCUGCCUGUACACCGGAGUAACAAGGGAUUGGUGGUUCGGGAGCUCGACUUCCUGCUGACCCAGUGGAUGUAGUGCCUGAGGGGCGUCGGAGGUGGGCUCUCUUAGUGGAAGUGGGAGGGACACUAUUUGAGCCGCAGUUUGUAGCGCUAGGAGCGCUGCCCGCAGCUGUUCCGUUUGCGACACGUAAGUCGGCACAGACUGUCGUCGCUGCCGGAUCUGCGGCGGCGGGGCGACGGACGGUCCUACCAGGUCGGUUGCCUGCCCUUCGACCACACCAAAGACCUGUUCCGCCGGCGGAGUAGUGAGCUCCGCGACAGACUGCUACGGAUGGUCGUCGUCGUAGACACUCAUGAUCGAAUCACUCUUGUCUCACCUCUAAGGAAACGACACUUUUUAAUUCCGCACAUUCAUCAAUCCACCCACCUAGUAUACUACCUUGUUCCAAACGAAGCAAGCUGCGGAAAUCAGGAGAAGCACAAUCAGGCUGCCUACCAAACAACGCCCUUUAGCCUUCGCGGCAGUCAAAGCCGUCUGCUGCCUCUACCAAAACACGCCGCAACUACAAAUACGCCCGCAACACCGGAGUCUCAACUCUUGUAAUUCUGGACUUAACACCGGUCAAAAAUACCAUAACCCUUGAGGUAAGAUAGAUCGAUUCUAACCUAAGCAAACGUCCGCACAAAAAAGAACACACACCGACUAGGACAGACAAUAAACUUCGCGACGGACCUUGGGUCUC